GGGACCGUGGGGUAGCUUGGCCCAUCCUUUGGGGUUCGGGGCCUCAAGUCUCGCGUUCAAAUCGCGACGGUCCCACCA
rnacentral:tRNA from 1 species